rnacentral:snRNA from 1 species
AGAUGAUUAGAGCAAAUGGCAGGCAUGCCACCUGGGGCUACCAUUCUGCAGAGGGUUGAUUCGAAUGGGUUGACACCUGCUGGCUUAGGCCAGCAUCCCUUUCCUCUCUCACUGCUCCAUGUGGAUCUCUCCUGAAGCUGCGUGCUGGGUGGAAGAGGAGGAUCUUCUCUGAUAGAGGACAACUGUUCUGUGGUCAAGUGUAUACCACUC